rnacentral:rRNA from 1 species
CCUACGGGUGGCAGCAGUGAGGAAUAUUGGUCAAUGGGCGCGAGCCUGAACCAGCCAAGUAGCGUGAAGGAUGACUGCCCUGCGUGUUGUAAACUUCUUUUGUCAAGGAAUAAAGUGAGGCACGUGUGCCUUUUUGUGUGUACUUGAUGAAUAAGGAUCGGCUAACUCCGUGCCAGCAGCCGCGGUAAUACGGAGGAUCCGAGCGUUAUCCGGAUUUAUUGGGUUUAAAGGGAGCGUAGAUGGGUUGUUAAGUCAGUUGUGAAAGUUUGCGGCUCAACCGUAAAAUUGCAAUUGAUACUGGCAGCCUUGAGUACAGUUGAGGUAGGCGGAAUUCGUGGUGUAGCGGUGAAAUGCUUAGAUAGCACGAAGAACUCCGAUUGCGAAGGCAGCUUACUAAACUGACACUGACAUUGAUGCUCGAAAGUGUGGGUAUCAAACAGGAUUAGAUACCCUUGUAGUC